UUGGCUUACUACAUAAGUGAUGAAUUCUUUGACUUUCAGUGAUGCCGUCUUUACUUAUAUCUGCGCUAAGUGAUGCACUAUUUACUUAUAUUUACUUUAAGUUAUGUAAUAUUUAUAUUUAAGUGCUGCAAUUUUGAAUUGGAUUCUACUUUAAGUGCUGCAGUUUUUACAUAUCUACUUUUAAGUGCAGCAAUUUUGACGUAUAUCUACUUUAAGUGCUGCAAUAUUGACUUAUAUCUACUUUAAGUAAUGCAAUUUUGACAUAUCUACUUUACGUGCUGCAGUUUUGACAUAUCUACUUUUAAGUGCAGCAAUUUGCUUUAUAUCACUUAUAUCUACUUUAAGUGCUGCAAUUUUGACGUAUACUACUUUAAUUGCUGCAGUUUUGACUUAUAUCUACUUUAAGUGAUGACUUAUUUGACUUAUACUACUUUAAGUGCUGCAGUUUUGACUUAUAUCUACUUUAAGCGAUGUAAUAUUUGAGUUAUACUACUUUUAAGUUAUUCAGUUUUGAUAUAUCUACUUUAAGUGCUGCAAUUUUGACUUAUAUCUACUUUAAGUGAUGCAAUAUCUGACUUAUACUACUUUUAAGUGCUGCAAUUUUGUCUUACACUACUUUUAAGUGACGCAAUCCGCUCGUAUAGGCGCGGUACGUGGUCCGCGACGCAUCUGACGAAAAAUGACGCAAAAUAUAUAGCAGUUGUCAUGACCGAACGGACUAUGAGAGUAUCUAAGUAAACAUUCUUCGUUGGGCUUGGCUGGGAAAACUUCCUCUGACCUUCAAAACGUUCUGGCACCAACCUCCUCACACCCUCGAACUAGUCCAGCGGUUCUCAGACAGCAGUUUAUUCAAUAGAAUAACGAGUGUCUUCGUUAUGUCAAUGAAAACAAGAAUAAACAUUGAAAUCGCCGUCAAGUUAACGUAAGUUUUACGCGUCUGAGUCAGUCAGAGCGUUUAUGUAAAAAAUGUCUUUGGAAUAUUUAAAAAAAUGCGUCAGACACUGACGCUAUGAAACUAACUGGCAACGCGACUAUACGUCAGUACAAUAAAUAGUAAACAAAGACCUCCCGUGAUGUGGUCUUAUAUAGCAACGUCCUCAGAGUCCCGUGGCCAGAUUAGAGACAGCGGCGACCCAAGGACCUGCCCUCCUCGCCCAAUCCUACGAGACAUCCUUUUUUAUCCCACGUCAGUGUCAACACUCCCUCAGAGUCCCUACUCUCAGGGGUUUGUGUAUCCUUCGCUCCAAUCAGUGUGAAAGCGACCUCUGUAGACCUAGUCUCAAGGGCACUGCCUUCCCUUUACCCUACGACAUUGCGAAGGCGCCCUUAGCAGCAGCAGCAGCAGCAGCAGAACAGCUCACAAGAUGCCCUCCUCCUCGGGACACAACUUGACCCUCGAGACCGACGAGCGCGCCAGACGCUGCAGGGUGGAAUUGCACCGUAGGCCUAUCGUAGGGAUCAUCGGCUACCACUGGGCGCUCUACUUCAGGUGGGAGGACGGUUACGACAUGCACUACGAGGCCACGGACGUCGACAAGCGCCUCGUCGCCCGCUGCGGCCGCGGGAAACCCGAGCAGACCUUCGACACCCUUGUGAUGGACCUCGGGUCGAAGGUCCUGUCCCCAAAGAGGGUGAAUCUCUGCGCCCGGGAGAACCCCUACAACGGGAACCUCUACGUCCUGACGAAGAUGAACUGCCAGGUUUGGGCGAAGCAGCUGGCGUCCGAUUUGGGAAUCAGCAUUCCCAUCACGGUCAACAUCCUGAAGUACAUUCCCGGAUCGGAGGUGCUGGACGGGAUCCACUUCCUCACCGGAUCUGGAUCUGGGUCAUCGAAGAGCUCUUCCAAGAGAUAAGAACUUGGCUGCAAUGUGUAUACGACUCUCUUCGGGGAAGAAGAAGAAGAAGAAGAAGAAGAAGAAGAAGAAGAAGAAAAGAAAAAAGGAAAAUAUAAUAAGAUUACAAUCACCUCUUGUUUACACUGCCAUGAUACCACACACUCAUGAAGACCAAGGAGAACGGAAGGCGAAAUAAAUAGCAUGAAAUAACAUAAAUAACGCCAUCUUCCAUCGCCUUAUUUGUGAUUUACUUCGUUCAAUUGCCAAAAGUGUCUGUAGAAAUAUAUUUUGUCAGCUUUACAAUUUCGUAGCAAAAAUAAAAUGAUUGAAAGUG